UGCAGUGUAGAGGCUACAGCGUCGGUGGGGGGUGGGGUUGUAAUCUAAAAUCACCAUGCACUGUCUGUGAGGUGAUAUAGUAAUCCCAUUCCCUAUUGAAGGACGGGCAAACUGGCGCACUGAUACGCACUUAGUCCAAGCCCCAAGAACUUCCUUCUGGCCACCCCAAUCCCAAUAUUUUCACUUCUUGAAAUUCCCAUUUUUAGCUUCUAACCGGAGUUCAUUUAGCAUAGAAGCUGAGUUGAGAGAGUUCCUGUAACCGACACUAGUAAUAUCCGAAAGCAGAGAUGAGGGAUGAAGAAGCCCAAAAGCCAUGGACAUCUCCCACUAGCAGUCCAGCAGCAAGUUUCAGCACCAAGAAAGAUGGUUCGGUCUUGGAGGGCGUGUGUGGCAGAGGCAGAUACAAGUUGUGGGCUCUAGGUGCGAUCUUCUUGCUUGCAAUUUGGUCCAUGUUCACUGGCUCUGUCACUCUGAAAUCAUCUGAUGUUAUUAUUAAACACCCCUCACAGGACUUGGGCUCCUCCAUCCAUGGUGAUCUUGAUAUUCUGGAUGUGGAUGAAAGGGAAAAGAUGGUGAGGCAAAUGUGGGAUGCAUACAAGCACAGUAGUACCAUUAGCCUGCCAAGUUUCUGGAGAGAUGCCUUCGGGGCAGCAUACCAGGAUUUGACCAGUGAGGUUGCCAGUGUGAGGGAUGCUGCCCUUUCGGAGAUAGCCAAGAUGUCAUUCAGGUCCAGAGACGUAUAUGAGCCGCCUCCAGUUCAAUCAACUGCUAGGUAGAUAAUAUCUCCAUUCCAGGGGACACUGGUUUUGGAGUUUGAAAUGGACAUGAACACCAAUUUUUGGAGAAACUCUAAAUCUUAACAAACUAAGGGCAAUGGAGAUCUUCUGCUUGAAUGUUGAGGAAAUCCAAGGAAGCGAGACCACGUUAAGUAGGGAAGACAAGAAGCCAGUAGUAGAACCGAACUUAGAGAUGGACGUUUCAUUUGUAGUUUGUUGCUUUUUGCAUAUAUAUUACAAAGCAAUGAGAUGCAUUUCAUAGUCUUCUUGAAGCUACAUUAUUGCAUACUCCAUAUAUUAGUGGAAGGCCAAACAGGAAAGAUAGUUGUAAUAAAUGAUCAAUUUCCUGGUAAUAACACAGCUACUGUUGCUCU